UGCAGGUUUAAUGUCCUCAUACUGUCUCUUCCACAUGCUCUGCUCAUACAUUAAAAGUAAAUAGUACUGAAACUGGGGGGGAAAAUAAUUCCAACCCAUGCUCACAAUUUAUAUCCUGACCAAUGCUUGCUUAUUUUUAGAACAGAAAGCUAACAUGUGCUCAGUUAUUCUGAUCACUGGAAACAGCUGUAGUAUUUAUGUCUGCAAUAAGCGAUGAAGAAUAUUAG